rnacentral:rRNA from 1 species
AGAGUUUGAUCCUGGCUCAGGAUGAACGCUAGCGGCAGGCCUAACACAUGCAAGUCGAGGGAUAAGCUUUCGGGCUGAAACCGGCGCACGGGUGCGUAACGCGUAUACAAUCUGCCUUUCACAUAGGGAUAGCCCGGAGAAAUUUGGAUUAAUACCUAAUGGUAUAUAGGGAUGGCAUCAUUUUUAUAUUAAAGCUUUGGUGGUGAAAGAUGAGUAUGCGUUCUAUUAGCUAGUUGGAGAGGUAACGGCUCCCCAAGGCGACGAUAGAUAGGGGUUCUGAGAGGGAUGUCCCCCACACUGGUACUGAGAUACGGACCAGACUCCUACGGGAGGCAGCAGUGAGGAAUAUUGGACAAUGGUCGGAAGACUGAUCCAGCCAUGCCGCGUGCAGGACGACGGUCCUAUGGAUUGUAAACUGCUUUUGUAAGGGAAGAAUAAGGAGUACGUGUACUUUGAUGACGGUACCUUACGAAUAAGCAUCGGCUAACUCCGUGCCAGCAGCCGCGGUAAUACGGAGGAUGCGAGCGUUAUCCGGAUUUAUUGGGUUUAAAGGGUGCGUAGGCGGCCUGUUAAGUCAGCGGUGAAAUCUAGGAGCUUAACUCCUAAAUUGCCAUUGAUACUGGCGGGCUUGAGUGUAGAUGAGGUAGGCGGAAUGCGUGGUGUAGCGGUGGAAUGCAUAGAUAUCACGCAGAACUCCGAUUGCGAAGGCAGCUUACUAAGGUACAACUGACGCUGAAGCACGAAAGCGUGGGUAUCAAACAGGAUUAGAUACCCUGGUAGUCCACGCAGUAAACGAUGAUAACUGGGCGUAUGCGAUAUACAGUAUGCUCCUAAGCGAAAGCGUUAAGUUAUCCACCUGGGGAGUACGCCGGCAACGGUGAAACUCAAAGGAAUUGACGGGGGCCCG